UGUAGCAAUACAAGGCAUACGGCUCAGUAACGCGUAGUCAACCUAACCUAUGGACGGGAAUAACCUCGGGAAACUGAGAAUAAUGCCCGAUAGAACAUUAUACCUGGAAUGGUUUAUGUUCCAAAUGAUUUAUCGCCGUAGGAUGGGACUGCGGCCUAUCAGUUUGUUGGUGAGGUAAUGGCCCACCAAGACUAUUACAGGUACGGGCUCUGAGAGGAGUAGCCCGGAGAUGGGUACUGAGACACGGACCCAGGCCCUAUGGGGCGCAGCAGGCGAGAAAACUUUGCAAUGUGCGAAAGCACGACAAGGUUAAUCCGAGUGAUUUCUGCUAAAGAAAUCUUUUGUUAGUCCUAGAAACACUAACGAAUAAGGGGUGGGCAAGUUCUGGUGUCAGCCGCCGCGGUAAAACCAGCACCUCAAGUGGUCAGGAUGAUUAUUGGGCCUAAAGCAUCCGUAGCCGGCUCUGUAAGUUUUCGGUUAAAUCUGUACGCUUAACGUACAGGCCGCCGGGAAUACUGCAAAGCUAGGGAGUGGGAGAAGUAGACGGUACUCGGUAGGAAGUGGUAAAAUGCUUUGAUCUAUCGAUGACCACCUGUGGCGAAGGCGGUCUACUAGAACACGUCCGACGGUGAGGGAUGAAAGCUGGGGGAGCAAACCGGAUUAGAUACCCGGGUAGUCCCAGCUGUAAACUAUGCAAACUCAGUGAUGCAUUGGCUUGUGGCCAAUGCAGUGCUGCAGGGAAGCCGUUAAGUUUGCCGCCUGGGAAGUACGUACGCAAGUAUGAAACUUAAAGGAAUUGGCGGGGGAGCACCACAAGGGGUGAAGCCUGCGGUUCAAUUGGAUUCA
rnacentral:rRNA from 1 species